AUUGAACGCUGGCGGCAUGCCUUACACAUGCAAGUCGAACGGCAGCGGGGACUUCGGUCCGCCGGCGAGUGGCGAACGGGUGAGUAAUGUAUCGGAACGUACCAUUCAGUGGGGGAUAACUAUCCGAAAGGAUAGCUAAUACCGCAUAUUCUGUGAGCAGGAAAGCAGGGGCUCGCAAGACCUUGCGCUGAUUGAGCGGCCGAUAUCAGAUUAGCUAGUUGGUGAGGUAACGGCUCACCAAGGCUACGAUCUGUAGCGGGUCUGAGAGGAUGAUCCGCCACACUGGGACUGAGACACGGCCCAGACUCCUACGGGAGGCAGCAGUGGGGAAUUUUGGACAAUGGGCGCAAGCCUGAUCCAGCCAUGCCGCGUGAGUGAAGAAGGCCUUCGGGUUGUAAAGCUCUUUCGGCCGGGAAGAAAUCGCAUCAGCUAAUACCUGGUGUGGAUGACGGUACCGGAAUAAGAAGCACCGGCUAACUACGUGCCAGCAGCCGCCGUAAGAC
rnacentral:rRNA from 1 species